UUGUCUCAAUUAAUAAAAUUUAUUUAAAUAUUUGUACCAAUUUAAUUAUAUACGUAAUAGUUACUAAAAUUUUAAUUAUUUAAUAUAUAUUUAUUAUUUCAUAAUAUGUAAAAAAUAUAUAAUACUUAAAAAUAAUUUAUAUAUAAUAUUCAUCCCGCCCAAAUGCGCGGGUCUUAACCUAGUACUACUACUAUUAAAUAGUACAGUAGAGACAUUUAAAUGUGUAUUUAAGGAAUAACCAAUCAAGAAAAUAAAUUUGAAUCAGACAGAGAAUAAAUUAUCCGACAAAUUUAUUAUUAAAAAAUUAGAAUGGCUAUAUUUAGAGAGUUAGAUUAUUUAGAAAAAAUUAUAAUCUAAAUUGAACUAAAGAUAGUCUCAGAAUGAACAUAAGACCAUUGUAGUAAAAUACCAAACAAAAGUUAUUAUCAAUUUGAUUAUUAUCUAAUCUAAAUAUAUUUGAUUAUUAUCUUUCUAAAACCUAUAAACUUGAUACAGAGAAGGAUAGUACCCCUAAAAUAUAAGACAAAUUAAACUAAAAAAUGUUUGUCUAUUAAUAACUAAAAUCCUUAAUUAGUCUGUGUUUCACUCGUCAAAUAAGACCAUUGUAGUAAAUACCAAACAAAAGUUAUUAUCAAUUUCAGUCUCCUACGUUGCAUUUUCUUCCGAAAUGGAUUAUCAACAUGAAACCCUCUAAUCUGAUACAAAUGCGUGGUUGUAAAAAUAUUAUAAGAUUUUUUAAAAUUAGUUGUUUGGAGCCAAAUGUUUGAUGAUUUAAGUGAUUUUGGAUCUAAAAUUUUAUGAGUGAAUAUUAUUUGAAGAUCUCUUAUCAUUCCCCAAGAGCAUUUGAGAUUUUUGUAAAGUGAAUUAAUGAUGAUAAAAGAUCUGGAUCGGCAAUGAGUAUAGCAAUGGAAAAUAAUGGAAAUUGAAUCAAAGUAUGAUAUCCAAUGGUUAAUAACAAUGAUCAACUGCAACAUAUUGAAUGUAUACGACAAGAUUCUUCAACUAAAACUUCCAUAAUGUAGAGAUAGGUACAUAAUGAUAAUUAACCGGCCAGUGGCUUAUUGUUUCUAAAAAUUGUUUGAAAUUCGAUUACUAUAGCAUUCAGUUUUUUUUUUGUCUAGUUAAUUAUGCUAUUACAAAUUAUAAGAAACAUUACAUAGACGAUAUUACAGCCGACAAUUCUACAUGUCUUAUAAGGAUUCACGCCUGAUAGCAUCACCCUGAGUAAUCCUCUGAGAUCCAUUCCUGACGGUACUCUUUGUGCCACGCUGAAGAUCUUUUGUAAGCAUUUUCUCUAAUUUUCUGUAUAACUCUCCUUCUCCGGGAACUGAAAUCUAGACCUCUUCUUGUAGAAAUUGCGUUGUCUGGAGUUUAAACUCCAGACCUGGGUGUAGAAGCCUUUAAACCUUGACCACUAGGCCACGGUGCUUCCACGAAAGAAAAAAAAGUUGAAAAAAUUAUAAAAAACUAAUAUAGCAUUCAGUUUACUAAAACGUUACUCGCAUAAUGGUAGUAUAAGGAAGUUGGUACGAAAUAUUAUUUUUUUCAAAUAAAAUUUCCAAAGACUAACUCGGAUUUAAGAUCCGUAAUUUACAUAGUAAUAAAAAUACUACGGGUUUUCUCAAUUCACUAGAAUAAUUUUUGUAAUUUCUAAUAUGAUGUAUAUAUGUUAAACCAUUUGCUGUAAUAUGUUAUAUUGGGAGUUUUUUCAAUUAUUAUUGGGAGUUAGGACGUGUAUUUUUUGUUUCCUUCGUUUGUGUUUUAACGAAGUUGUGCAUUUAAAUGUUUUGGUUGUAUAUAUAGAUCGUUACAUACAAAAUGUUAAGAUUGUAAAACCAGUUACAAAAAAAUUGUCUAAGAUUUUGUAAUAGAAAUGAUAAUAUGAUAAAGCGGAUAUCUACAAUCAAGUGGUGUAUAUGCAUUUAAACGGCUCUUUCCUUCUAGAUGUUCGUCUACAAUUAGAGUAAAAUUAUCUAUUAGCUUAUAAAUUAUAUAACUGGUGUACUCUAUGUGUGGUGACGUGUAUAAAAAGGUAGAUUAGUCAUUUCCGCUGAUGAGAACCAAACUGAAUGACAUGACAAUUAAAACCGGCUAAACCUGCAUCUCUUAUCUCUUAGCCCCGGUCUCUUAGCCGGUUUUUAAGAGCUUUGGGAGACUAUAGAAGCUCAUCACCAUAGAUUUCUCCCACAAUAUGUUCGACAACAGUAUUUUUCCUUUUCUGACUGCUGCUACAUCGCUCAGGACUCUGUAUCUUGAGUCUAAUUAUAUGGAAGGUGUCUUCCCUCCUCAAGGACUUGCAAACAUGAGAAACUUGAAAGUGUUAAACUUGAAGGACAACAGUUUCAUCUUCUUGUCCGGUCAAGGUAUAUAUAUGUUAACAAAACCUAGUUUAGUUUUGUCUUUCCAGAACGAAACAAGAACUAAAAGAAACUUUGAGAUGCAGGUUCAGCCGGUUUUAGAGAAUUAGAAGUACUGGAUCUCAGUUUCAAUGGUGUCAAGGCAUGAUUAACUUUGAGAUGCAGGUUUAGCCGGUUUUAGAGAAUUAUAAGCGGUUUUAAAGGGUAUGAUUAACCCCAGUUUUUUAGUUGGGGUUCUUAACUCAUGAUUUGAUAUUUUUUUUUUACAUUUUUCGGCUAAGAAACGGCUCUUAUAUCUCUUAUUUAAAAGACGGUUCUUAAUUUUUCUUAGUUAAAAUCUAAAAAAGCUAAGAACCGUUUCUUAGUCGAAGCUAAGAACCUGAGUUAAGAAACUGGGAUUAAUCAUGGUCUAAGCAUGCAAUUGAGUAUGAAAUGGAUGUCAAAGAGUCUUUUAUCUGUAUUCCCAUGCAUACUGUACAUUAUAGCCGGUCAUCUUCAUCACUAAAAUAUGAUUUUAUACAUAAAUAUAUAAAUUUACGUGUAGUUGCUCAUAUUAGGUAGUUACACUAAUCAACACUUUAAAUUAAUGGAAAGGUCGUUGACAACAAAUAAUAUAAAAGAAGGUAUAGAUUCCAAAACUAUGGACAGCCAAACGUAAACAUUUCCAUGCUCUCUUUUGUACUUUAAUUAGUUAUGAUUUUCUAUCAUAAUACUUUAAUUAGUUAUGUUUCCUCUUUCUAUAUAUAUAUCUUUUGUUCACUUUCGCUUUAUAUACGUAUUCACAAUAUUAUUAUGAUAUUCUUAAUAAAUUCAAAGAUUGGGUAGCGUCAUGAACAUAAUAAGAUAGACAAUGAUUAACAUGACAUUACUUUUGUGGUAACAAAUUUCAGGACAAUAUACUGAUACAUAUUACACAUUUGAUUAGCUUUGGUCCAUUUCCUUUAAUUAGUUAGCCGCACCAGAUACGUCAAAUAUUAAGCCAAAAAAAAGAUACGUCAAAUCCCCAUAACACCCAAAUAAUUAUUAUAUGAGUAACCAGUUUUGAUACUCUUAUAUUUAAGCGUGAGCCACUUUAGAAUAAUUCUCAAAAAUACCUAAAUGAACUACCGAGACCAGACAAAAGAAACUAAUCGUUUUAAAAGCUUACGAUCAUACUUCACUUCAAUUGUGCUAAUUAAUCCUUCUAAAUUUAGUUACCAACUCUCAAUAUACAAAUAAAAAUCAUGAUUUAUAUGUGCGACAGGGCUGUAUAUGUAAAUGUGUAGUUAGUUGAUUUGGUUUACCAACCUCUCUACUCUCUAACAUCUAUGCAUGCAUCUGGCCAUCAACUUAUUAGCGCAAAGCAAUUAGAAGACAAAACUAACCCAUGGAUUUUAAUUAUGAGUAAUAACGGUAUAUUAUCAUGAUCUGCUAAUAAAAUAGUUAAAUCGUUUAUGGUGCAUAAAUCGUAGUUGUAUAAGGUUGUCUGUAUUUAUAUUAUUUUGCAAUAUACUUAUUUAUACAAAUCAACCAUAAAUCACAGAUGUGUAAGGUUGUCUGUAUUUUGAUUAUUUUGCAAUCUACUUAUUUAUACAAAUCAAACAAUAAAUUUAUUUACAAGUUUUCUACAAAUAUGAGAACAACAAACUAAUCUAUUUGCUGACAAAAAGAAAAGAAAAGAAAAUAAAAGAAACAUGCAUGUCUAUAUUGUUUGCCAAACAAAAGCAUACAUGUCAAUAUUAUUACAAUAUAAAAAUACUUUUUCGAAAGUUAUAAAGACACAGUCUUAAACUUACAUAACUACAAUACAAAAC